rnacentral:rRNA from 1 species
AUUGAACGCUGGCGGCAGGCCUAACACAUGCAAGUCGAACGGUAACAGGAAGAAGUUUGCUUCUUUGCUGACGAGUGGCGGAUGGGUGAGUAAUGUGUGGGAAACUGCUUGAUGGAGGGGGAUAACUACUGGAAACGGUAGCUAACACCGCAUAACGUCGCAAGACCAAAGAGGGGGAGCUUCGGGCCUCUUGCCAUCGGAUGUGCCCAGAUGGGCUGAGCUAGUAGGUGGGGUAACGACUCACCUAGGCGACGAUCCCUAGCUGGUCUGAGAGGAUGAUCAGCCACACUGGAACGUGAACACGGACCAGACUCCUGCGAGAGGCAGCAGUGGGGAAUGUUGCACAGUAGGCGCAAACCUGGUGCAACCAGGCCACGUGUAUGAAGAAAGCCUUCGGGUUGUAAAGUACUUUCAGCGGUGGUGAAGGGAGUAAGCUUGAUACCUUGGCUCAUUGACGUUACCCGCAGAAGAAGCACCGGCUAACUCCGUG